GACGAACGCUGGCGGCGUGCCUAAUACAUGCAAGUUGAGCGCUGAAGGUUGGUACUUGUACCCACUGGAUGAGCAGCGAACGGGUGAGUAACGCGUGGGGAAUCUGCCUUUGAGCGGGGGACAACAUUUGGAAACGAAUGCUAAUACCGCAUAAAAACUUUAAACACAAGUUUUAAGUUUGAAAGAUGCAAUUGCAUCACUCAAAGAUGAUCCCGCGUUGUAUUAGCUAGUUGGUGAGGUAAAGGCUCACCAAGGCGAUGAUACAUAGCCGACCUGAGAGGGGGAUCGGCCACAGUGGGACUGAGACACGGCCCAAACUCCUACGGGAGGCAGCAGUAGGGAAUCUUCGGCAAUGGACGAAAGUCUGACCGAGCAACGCCGCGUGAGUGAAGAAGGUUUUCGGAUCGUAAAACUCUGUUGGUAGAGAAGAACGUUGGUGAGAGUGGAAAGCUCAUCAAGUGACGGUAACUACCCAGAAAGGGACGGCUAACUACGUG
rnacentral:rRNA from 1 species